GGCCUAGAGCUGGCCCCGGGUCACAGUGGGGGGUGUGGCCACCCAGGACCUGUCUAAGGCUCCAGGCUGUCCCUCCUUCCUCCCAGCCUUCAGAACUCAAGAACCACCAAAGCCCCUCAUACAAGGCUCACAAGUAACAACCCGGUUCCUGAAUACAUGAUGGCAGAACCUGGAGUUCUCCACUCUUGCCCCUGCCUGCUUCCAGAAUUAGGACUGAGAUAGGUACACGCUGGCCCUGAAAACAGUUUCCGGAUCAUUUCUCCCAGGCCAGCCUCUACAGCUUUCUGUAUCUCUGCAGUGGCCCCUGUGGGCUGGCAAGUAUCUCACUGCGAGCAUUAUCCACGGGAUACGUCCUCGUGGGACGUAUCCUGACCUUAAAUAACUAAUAACCCUGACCUUAAAUAACUCAUCUUCCCAUGAGGCCGUGUUGCCUAACGUCUUCCUCUUUGUCAGUCAUUCACGUCAUCAUUUAGCAAGAACUUUCUGGGCACCAGGCGCUGUGCAAAGCUCUUUAAACAAAUCACCGGAUGUAGCAGCAUCAGCCCCGUGUCGCAGGCACUGUCACUGAUUUUGCCAAUGAGAACACCAUGCUGCCCUUCCCCAAACACACACUGCACCUUCCCACCACUGAAGUUUUGCCCAUGCUGUUCCCGUCUCCAGUCUGCUCUUCCCUCCAUGCCUCCGGCUACUGAAAUACCACACGACCAUCCAUGCCAGGCUCGGGUGCCCUCCUUCCUAGGGGUCUUCACCUGCCCCACGAUUGCUUCGAGCUUGUUCUUCUCUGACCUUCGUCCCUCUGUAGCACUCACCGUGCUCUUAGAGGAGGUUACCUGUGUAGAUGGCUUUCUUCCCACCCAGAAUGUACAGGUAUUAAGGAUCAGGACCGUCGUUUUGCACCUGUAUAAUGCUCACUGUGCCUGGGCCAGGGAUUCGAAAUGCAGCCUUCAUCUCACUCAACCGUGUGAACAGCUAAACAGGAAGUCCCCAGGCUGCCCCGGCCACAGACAGGGCACAAAGUUGCUACGCAAGCAUCUCAUGGCAUCUGGCAUCCGUAUCACUUCUCACCGUAUGUCCACAAAUUCUUGGACACUCCUCCUUUAGGGGUCCCGAAUUCCCCUUCCCUUGAACAUGAUUGGACUUAGUGACUCACUUUCAACACAGAAUAUGGUGGAAGUGUCGGUAUGUAGCUUCUGAGACCAUUGCGGGCAUUGCAGCCCUUGGCUUGUUUGCUUGUGGAACCUUCACACUGAGGAUAGAAAGCUGCCCUGACCUGGGGAUACUCAAUCAACCCUUACGGAGAGGCCUGCGUGGCUGGGAACUGAGGCCUCCUGCUAAAAGCCAUUCAAGUGAACCACCUUAGAAGUGGAUCCUCAGCCUCAGGCAAGGAUGACAUCAGAUGACAUAGGGAGAGACUACCAGCUAAGGCAUUCCUGGAUUUCUGACCCUCAGAAGCUGUGGGAAAUAAUAAACAUUUGUUGGCCUGA